AAUUAUGUAUCUAAUGUACUUUACAACAUAAAUACAGAAGCUUGUAAGGACCCAUCUCAACCAAACGAACACAAAACCCAAGCGCACACUUAUGACUUAUGACUUUAAACUUCUUCUAUUUAACACCCCAAAAACCCAAAUCCCCAUAUUCAAACUUCAUCAAAAAAACUCCCAAAAUCCCCCUUCAAAUUCAGAAACCCAUUUUCACAAACCUCCUUAAACUUAAAUAAAAAGCCUCCUCAUUUCCAAAUCCCAUGGCCAAAAUUUGCCUUCUUUUCUGCCUCAUUGUGGGCGAGAUCUUCCUAAUUCAAGCAAUCACGACUUCGAUUGCUACAACAACAGAGCUCCCUCUGUCGGUGGCGCCAGAGUCAUCGGAGAAGGGGACCAGAGAAGGGUCUGAAGUGGCGGAGGCGCCGGAGAUCCGGCGGUUGGGAAAGCACCAUGGCGAUAAGUCGAUGGCCGGUGGGGGAGUCAUUAUCGGUGGCCUUGUAACGGCAGUUUUUGCAGCUGUUUUUUGUUACAUUCGGGUUACUAGAAAAAGAGAUGGGGUUGAUUCGGUUCAUUGAGACUGAUCCUAAUUUCUACUCUUUUUUUUUUUCUUUUUUCUUUUUUCUUACACAAACCUUUAUAUAUAUAUAUAUACAUAAACAUAUUCUUUUGUUUUUUUGGAGGAAAUUUUAGAGAUUGUGGUUGAGUGAUGAGUUCAUAGAGAGAAAAAGAUCCCAAUUUCCAAAUAAAGAGUAUACCUUCUUUUGGACAGAAUAUUGAAGUGAAAUUCUAAACUAUUUGGAGGUCUUGUGAGAAUAUUCUAAUUUGUUUACAUAAAAGCCGUAAAGGUCAAGUUCCAAUUAGUUGUGAAACCUAAAAACGCGGAAGAUUUUAAAUCUUGGAAGUCCAAAGGGCGAAAGCUUCGUUCUUUUUGGAAAAAGUUUUUCUUAGACAAAAUUUUUAUAUUUAAUAUGCGAGAUUGAAAGCAUACGUUUAAUAGCUAUGUUCAAUCCCACUUUAAAAAAAAAAAGAAUAUUUACUUUUAAUACAAAACACGUGUCAAUUACUAUUAUAGUUAGCUUUAUAAACAUUAUAAAUAUAUGUGUUAAAUAGAUGUCUAUUAUCAAGUGUGAAAAUAUGACCAUUUUAUUUGUUAUUCAUCUCUUCCAACGUAACAUUUAAUUAAUGUUCACGUAACCCACCACUUAUUUAUCAUUUUAUGUAUAAAGAGAGGUCUUCAAUGGAUCUUUUAUAAGUACAUGCAACAUCGGUUGAAAUUUCAAAGGUUUUUGUUUUUUUAUACAAAAUUUAUUUAAUAAUUUUGUUAUUUAUUAGGUAUUAUAUUAUAUUUAUGGAAUUUAAUAAGGUUUAAGGCCCAAUUCUUAUUGGGUCUUAUCCACUAAAGAAGUAAUUGGGCUUAGGGCCUCUCUCGAUAUCAAAGCUUCCCACCAAAAAGCAGGUGAAAGAAAUACCAUUCUCCUUCUUCUGCUUCUGAUUUGUGUGCAGAAUUUCAAUUUUGAAUUCAAUCGAUCAAAAUGGCCAAGUGUUCGUUCGAAUGGUGGCAUGCACCCAUCGUCUUCUCCAUCUCUGUUGUUUUAGCCUUCUUCGCCAUUUCCACAGCUCUCCACUCAUCUACUUCCCACUCUCCAACUCCACCCAACAAAUCCAUGGCCGAUGAUCUUUCUUUAAACGCAUCAAGAGCCUUAAGACGAGCCGGUUUCAACACCAUUGCCACACUCCUUCAAGUCUCCCCUGAACAUUUUUUCUCCCCUCAAAACUCCACCAUUUUCGCCAUAAAAGAUUCCGCCAUCUCCAAUACCUCCCUCCCUCCAUGGCUCCUCAAGAAUCUUGUCCAAUACCACACUUCCCCUGUCAAGCUUUCCAUGGCUGACCUGUUAAAGAAGCCUCGAGGGGUCUGUCUCCCGACCCUUCUGAUGCCAAAGAAAAUUGCUAUCACCAAAAUGGAUUCCACUGCUAGAUUGGUUGAGAUCAAUCAUGUUCUUGUCACUGACCCUGAUAUUUUUCUUGGUGGAAAUGUUUCCAUUCAUGGUGUUCUUGGCCCAUUUUCUCCUUUGGAUCCUCUUGAUCUUCGUCAGGGAUGGAGCUUCAUUCAAUCACCGUACUGUGAUACGAAUGCUACCAUGAUUUCAGAUCCUUUUGAAACCAAUAAUGGGGUUGUUGGAGUUGGAGUUGAAGUCGAAUGGAGAAGAAUCAUAAGGUGGCUUAGUGCAAAUGGGUUUAUUUCUUAUGCAAUCGGAUUACAAACCGUUCUUGAAGGGCUUCUUCAAGAUUUCGAAGGAUUGAGAUCGAUUACUGUCUUUGCGCCGCCGAAUUUAUCCUCUGUUGCAUCUCCAUCGCCUGUUCUGAAUCGAGCUGUGAGGCUUCAUAUUGUUCCUCAAAUGGUUACAUACAAAUCCCUCGCUUCGUUGCCGACCAGAACUUCGCUCAAGACGCUCGUCUCCGGCCAAGAUAUCGAGAUCCUCGGAGGAGUUCGUGUUCCGAGAGGAACGGUGAAAGUUAACGGCGUGGAGAUUGUCUCGCCGGAGAUUUUCCGAUCAGAGAACUGUGUAAUCCAUGGAAUUUCCCGGUCGCUUGAGAUCGCCGGUUUACCUCAUUCAUCGAGGUGAGAUCGCUUCAAUUAGUGAAAAUUCAACCCAUCCAUAGAACUAGAACAUCUGUUCUGAUUUGGAACUCAGAAUGUAAUAUACAAAAGAAUUUAAAAGGGAAUUCUGAACCUGCAUUUUCUAUACAAUUAGGAUUUCAUAUUGCACAAUAUCAAAACAAAAAAACAAAAACGAAAAGAAGGAAAUUAAGAAAUCGAAGGAAACAUUGUUGUAUCAAGAAGUUCUUUUCAUUAAAAUCCGAGUCAUUUUCAAUCCUGUUAACGUAACAUUGAUCGAAUUUACAAAUCGUGAUUUCAUAAACAACCCUACAAUCUCCUUAACUUCAUAAUCCCCACAUUCCUCAACAACAAUCACACAAACACCAUCAGGACGAACAGCUCUCUCCAUCUCAGAAACAAAUCGAGACGGAAACAAUGCCUCGGCCAAAUGAGCAGUAAACGCCAAAUCAAAAACAUGAUCAAAGAAAGGCAAAUUAUGAGGAUCAGCACGACUCACCAAAGGAGGCGAAUCAAUCAACUCGACACCGGUGACAUCGUGAACUCCCAUCUGAGACAACGCCAUGACCUCAUGGCCAGCGCCGGCGGAAACGCAGAUAACUUUGGUGUGGUUAUGGAGAAGACCUAGAUCUUGAAUGGAUUGGAAGAAAUGAAUGAAGGAGGAGAGCUUCUUCUUCCAGUCGUUGGAUGACCAAAGACGCUUGUUCUUCUUGUCAAUGGAGACGAGCUCCCGAGGAGUGGAAUCGCAGGAGGAUUUGGGGAAUUUGAGAUGGGGUUUUGAAGGAGAAUUUGGGGGAAUGCAGGUUUGUGGGGUUUGGAGGAAGAGGAUGAUGAGGGUGAGAGUGGCAAUGGCAAUGGAAGCAAAUGAAAGCUUGUUGAGAAAACGGCGAAUGUGGCGUUCCAUUGUUGAUUUGUCAAUGGAAGAAUUUUGGUUUCUGAAAUGAAAUUAUAUGCUUUGCCUUUGCCCAUCAUUCAAUUCUCUUUCCUGUUUGAACAUAAAAAACGAAGAACAUAUAAUUCUUUUUCUCUUUUCUUUUCCUUUUGUUUUCCAUUAUACGAUCGUAUCAUGAAUUUUCCCAAACAUAAUUUAUUUUCUAUUAAUCUUUUAGUUGAUAUCAAAGAUUCAAAUUUGGAUCAUGUAUUUAUUUAUGUAGGGGAUUUCUAAAAAAACAACAAAUAUAUUAUUCAAAAUAGGAGACACAUUUAAAAUAAAUUGGUGAGAGAAGUUCAACCAAUCAAAUAUUUUGAAGUAAUACUAUACAAAUAAAUUAGAUCAUGUGUUAUUUCCUUCAAAACCUAGUUCAUCAAUGUAAUUUGAAAAGUGGACCUUAUUUGCUUUCAAUUUUAUAAUUGUAAUGUAACGUCGAAUUAAUAGUCAAACACGCAAUCAACAAUAGCUAUUCAAUCGUAGAGCUUAAAAUUAUAUAUGAUACACCCCAAGAGAUAUUAUUACUCUUAUUGUUAUAAGAAGACAAUAAUACAAAGUACGAUUGCAAAACGUAUACAUAAACAUGAUUUUUUUUAUAAAAAAGAUCCAAUUAUAUUUAGGAUUAAAAUUCAUGAUGAUCGAUGAUACUGUUACGACAACCAAGUGAAGUUAUUAUAAUCCAUAGACCUUGGGAUGAACAUCUAGUAGUAGAUGCAUAUUUAAUUAUUAAAAAGGAAGACUUCCCCUCUUUUUCUCUUUUUUUCUUUUUAAACGAAAGUUUGCAUAAAAUUUAUAUAACAUUUGUUUGUUAUUCUCUUCAACAAUCAUCUCAACAAGUUAAACUCGAAAGUCCAUUCUAAAUAUCAAAUAGAACCAAUCAGCAGAAGUAUAAUAUGAAUAAAUGUGAAGUUAUACAUCAAUAGUUCACAUGGGAAGACGCUUCUUUCUGCUAUCUACCAUCUUGUAGGGUGACUGUCAACUCAUUAUGGGAGAAGGUUUCUGGUUUGGUGGAGGAGGAAGCUCUGCUUGAGGGGCACCGCCGUACGACGAAAGCUGGUGGUUUCGGAGAUGGAAGAGUUGCGGUUUCGCUUCCGAGCAUGAAUACCACAUUCAACAUGGUGGGUCGAUCCCAUGGAUCUUCCUGCACGCACAACAGCCCCACAUUUAAACACUUCAAAUAUUCAUCUCGUUUGCAAUUCCCGCUCAGUGUUUGCUCCAUUAAAUCCAAGCCUUCGUCUUUCAUCCAUAAAUCCCAAGCCUGAGAACAAAUGAGACUCAUUAUUGAAUCCGAGAUGUGUUGAUAAUGAGAAGUUUAAAAGAAAUUAUCCAACUUACAUAGCCCAGGAGACUCAAAGCUUUCUCCGAGUGAAAGAAUCCAGUGUUCCUUUUUCCACUAAUGAUCUCGAUUACGACUACACCGAAGCUAAAGACAUCAGAUUUGACAGAAAAUAUCCCAUCCAAUGCAUAUUCUGGUGACAUGUAUCCACUGUAUUACCAACAAACAAUUCAAAGAGAUUAUGGGAUGUGAUAUUAUGAAUCUGGUUUGAUCAUUUUUAUUGAAUGAGACUUACUAAGUGCCUACCACCCUUUUAGUAUUUGUGGCAGUUUCUUUCCCUCCAAAUAUCCUCGCCAAGCCAAAGUCGGAUAUUUUGGGAUUCAUCUCCUCAUCUAGAAGAAUAUUGCUCGUCUUCAAAUCUCUAUGGAUAAUUCUCAACCUCGAAUCUUGGUGUAAAUAAAGAAGGCCACGAGCAAUUCCCAAAAUGACGUUGAAGCGCAUGUCCCAAUCCAAUGCCACACUCAUCUUUUGAUCUGGAAAAAGUCAAAUAAAUCCACAAUUCAGCAUAUAAAUGAACAAGGAAGAUAAGAGGAGCAAAGGAAGAUAAUAGUCACAAACCAAAUAUAAAGGCGUCUAAGCUUUUAUUUGGCAUAUAUUCAUAAAGCAACAUCUUUUCAUCUCCUUCAACACAGUAGCCCAAGAGUCUAACGAGAUUUCGAUGCUGAAGUUUAGCAAUUAAUAAAACCUCAUUCUUAAACUCCUCAAAGCCUUGCCCUGAACCACUUGAAAGCCUCUUUACAGCAAUCUCCUGCCCACUAGGAAACUUGCCCUGAAAAUGCAGUGGCUUCAAUAUAUUCCUAAACCAGGACAAGCUUAAAGCAACCAUUAAUGUGUUUCAAGGAUCUAUACCUUGUAAACUGGCCCAAAGCCUCCCUGGCCAAGCUUGUUUGCAUUUGAGAAGUUAUCUGUUGCAACUAGAAUGGUUUCCAAAUCAAAAAAUGGAAUGUCUAUUCCAUUUGUAUCAUCUUCCUUGAAUCGACCGGAUUCAAUCAGGUCUUUGACACGUCUCUCAUUAUCGUACAAGUGAAGCAUUAAAUCUUUUUGGCUGUUUCCCCUGCUUUCUGAGUCCAAAUAGGAUUGACUGUAUUUAGAUUUAAAGGAAAGAGAUGAAAUAAGAAAAGAAGAUUAUUCAGUAAUAAUUGCUGCAUUAAAUCAAAUUUAAAAUUACCUUGUCUUUCAAUGAGCCCACUUUUGGAGAAGUAAAUGUAAAAUACGGUACAUGAGAGAAUCAUCAGAAGGACCAUACAUAAGGAUGUUGCAACAAUAAUCACAGAAAAGGUCGUUUUGCCUUUUCCAUCCUUUCCUUUGUUGUGAUCUACAGAAAUAUCAAUAAGGGACGCUUGGUAUAAGAAAAAUUUGUCCCAGCAUCAACAUCAUUACGAAUGAACAUAACCAGACACUAUGUGAAAUGAUUAUUACCUGUAGUGCAAUUCAAGAUCCAGCCAUUCCAAUGAAAAUCUGUUAUGCAAAGGCAUCUUUUAUUUCCAUCUUUACUCAUGUUGCAAGUUGAAUAAGGCCAGUCUUUGCAGUCCGUAGUUGAAGAACAAAUUGGCUCUAGUGGAGGCUCCCAACUGAUUUCAACUUCAUUGCUAGUUUUCAGAGAAAAAUUCUCCUCGAGAUUGGUCUCCUUAAAGUUGCACCAGCUGGUUACACGGAAAGGAGAUGACUGGUUCAGCUGAAGGGCUUUGGUUAUCCAGUUUUUAUCACCACAAUCACCCGGUUCCUUGGUUUGGAUGUAAAAUUUUCGUGCUUCUGAAUCAAUGAAUUUAACCUUGUAUGUUCCACCUGCUGCUUCAAAGUUUACCUGGCCAGAAGCCAAGUUGCAGUUAAAAUUGAAGUACAUGGGGUCACCGCAUUUAGGUCCUGUGCUAAGUGGAUAAGGAAUGAGGUUUGUUCCACAUGUUCCACAGUUUCUGGCAGUUGAUUCUGCAGCAUUGCAAACUCCAGAACUUCAGAAACACAACUGAAAAUUCAUCAUUUUAAAAAACAUAAACACAAACAUACCUAGGUCUCUAACUGCUACUCGAACAUUGAGGUCACGACCAUCAUCAAACUCAUCCUGAAGAUUGUUGAGAUCUCCAGACCAGAUCCAACAAGCAGAAUUAUAAUUCCCACUCUGCCUUGUGAUAUUAGCUUCCAAAUACGAGUAAGCCUGACACUGGCAGUUGUUAAGGCACUCCAAUUUGCAAUCGAAGUCAUCCUUUGCAUUAAACUGGAAGUCCGGGUUUCCAGCUUUCAUCAUCUUUAGACUCAAAAAAGUGUCACUGUCAGCAUCCACACUGCAUAUUGGUGAUUUCCUAAUGCAUCCACCUGAAUAAUCUCCAAUAUUCCAACUCCCUGGAGAGGUAGGCUCAAAACCAGGCAGGCAUUUGCAAGCCAUACCACACUCACUAUUACAGCUAGCAAAAUCUCCACACGCAUUAUACACACUGCAUCUAUCUCUCGGCUCCACCCAAAUCUGAGACCAGACUUUGUGAUCUUCCCAGUUUAGGUAAUGAAGCUGACCUGAGCUGUUCAAUACUAGCCUUGUAUCAAUAUACAAUGAUGAUGUGAGAUGUGGCACAGAGAAGUUUGGGACAGUUUUCGAUGAGAAAUUUGACAAAAGGUAUAACAAUGCAGCAGGCAUCUUAUCAGUGGUAAUAAACUUACCUGAAACUCCACUUUUCCAGAAUUUAACUGAUCUUUUCCAAAUGACAUAUUGACCUCCGUCCUGAUCUAACUGAAAAGUGAAGUUCCCUUGGGCCGGGUCAUCAUAGCUCUUCCAUGAAGCCAGCACCAAGUUAUCGUCCAUUAACAUGCCAGGAAGAAAUGUAUCAGUUGGAUAAUCGAAACUUUGCCAGAGGAUGUGCUCAGACAAGUCUUCUUGAUCUACAUAGCUCAAAACCAGAUUUCCAUUAUCCAUUAGUUUCAGGGUCCUUUGAUCAGGUACAGAACUUCCAAUGUUUGUUGACCAAUAAAGAUUCUGAUUUCCAUCAUAUACUUUGAGGUUGCCAUCAUCCUCGAUCUUCAAGACACCAUCUGAACUAGGAAGUGGUCUGUCUCGAUUGGCAACCCAAACAACCGUAAUUGGAUUUGAUUUGUAAUACCAUAUUCCCAAGUAUCUUCUGCUAUGAGAGCUGCCAUAUGGCUGAAAGAAUCCAAGUUCGAAUCUCGACCCUGCCGAUACAAGAGUAUCCCCACUCCCAUGACUUAUGCAACUCUUAAACUCUAAGGUAUCUUUAGCAAAGCAAUUAACAACGAAAAUUAAAAACACAAAUGAGUACAAAUGGAAAAAAGACAUCAAAUGCUCUGCAAACCAGCUGAUGGUGACCAAUUUCUUGACACUACUUCUUUUGGCCACCAUUUCACUACUUCUGUUAUGCAACAAACAUGUUCCCUCUCCACUAUUUCUAUCUUCCUCCAUUCAUCCUCGUGAUUUUUUAAAGUGAUUAUAAGAAUAACAAAAAAAAGAUCAGACUCGUGAAGAACAUCUUUCUUUUUAGUUUCAACAACAUUACAAAAAUGUUGCUUUCCCACCUGGCCCACAUGAUCAAGCCAUUUACCAACAAACACUGAGCAUGAUUUAGCAAUUAUAAUAAUAAUGUGAAAACUACUAAAAAAGUUGAAAAAUUAUAUAAAGAAUUCAACAUGAAUAUGUCUAGAACAGAGAGACCGUUCAGACAAAUGACAAAUAUCCUACAAAGAAAGCCAUUUUCUCAGAGUAAAGUUCAAAAGAAAAAUACUCAUUCUUGGUUCAGAUUCCAAACCCAUAUAUUAAGCAAUUUAAUUUACACAACAUGAGUUUACAACUUUUUUCCCCCACUAGCAAGUCCAAAUUGGGGGUUUGUGAUUGUCUAAACUGAAUUAUUGUAAAGCAAAAAUGGGCAACCAAGGUCAAGAUUUACUGUUGUUGUCAAGUUCACCUUUCCAUUAGUGGACCCACUACCCUACUUUUUUUCUCACCAUCUUUAUGAGAGAACGACUAAAGGCAUAGCCUAAGCAAUUUGAUCAACCCUAACUUUUCUUUCAUCAUUAUUUUGGCGGGGCAAUUCUAAUGUAUUAAAAUCAUCUACCGCUUUCAAAUUUUUAAUUGGAAGGAGAGAGACCCACAGAAGACUUUCGUCCAUUGCACGUUCUUUAAUGGUACAGAUGGUGGGAUUCUAUAGCCUGAGGCAAAGCAAAGCAAAGCCAUCGAGCAGUACAAAUUCAUAAAAGAGUCAAAUAUACAAAACCCUAGGCAGGACUCAAACAGAGGUUUGAAAAUUAGAAGUAGAAGAAGACUAUAAGUGGAAGCUAAGCAACUGUGGACUACAAACAAAAGAAGUUGAAAAGAAAAGGAAAUUCAUACCAAUGAUCAACAAUCUUCCGGUUUCUGAUACCCCAUUUUUGACCCUCACUCAAGAAUUCACUUCACUUCACAUUUGGAGAUGAUGACGUCCAACCGACGAUGUUAUGAGCAACUAAAAGCAACUAUUCAAUUCAAAUUUGGCGGUUUCAGUUUUCAAAUUUUAGAAUUUAUAUAUCUAAACUAUAAAUAAGAAAUAUCAUAAAUUUACCAUUUAACUAUAGAAAUGUAUUUGAAUAAACAAAACACAUUUUUUUUAGUUAAUGUGCUAAAAUUGUGCUUAAACAUGAUUGAUCAAUUUUAGCACAUUGACGGGUAUAUAAAAUCAAAUAUCAAGCUGGUGGAAUGAUCGAUCGAUCGAACGACUUAAAGCUCGCCUUGUAAUUUUUGGCAACCACCAGAUUGAGGGUAUUGACUAUAAUGAAACAUUUUGUUCGUGUGACAAAAUUGGUAACUGUGUGAGUAUUUCUUGGAGUAGUUGUAGCUGCAAAGAACUGAGAAUUACAUCAGAUGGAUGUUCACAAUAUAUUCUUCCAUGUUGAUCUAAAUGAACAAGUGUAUAUGAAAUUACCACCUAGGGUUUAUGGGUAAUGCAUAAGGUCUGUUGUUUGUGGUCGCCUCAAGAUAUCUUUGUAUGGCUUACACCAAGCUGCUUCAAGGUGUUACAUUGGUCCAGUUUUAUUUCAAUUACUUGAUAUUUGUGUUGCAUCAAGGACAAGUCCAACUAAAUUAAAUUUCCUUGUAUAUGUUGAUGAUUAAAUUGUUUUAGGAAAUGAUUCUUCCAUUGGCUGCUUCAUUUAAGAAAUAUUUUGGUGAAUGUUUUUCUACAACGGAUUUGGAUAUGUUGAAAUAUUUUCUUGGUAUUGAGGUUGUUUGAAAUAAUGGUGAAAGCAUUUUUGUUUGUCAACGAAAUAAGUACAAUCUUCACAUCAUUUAAAAAAUGAGACUCUUAGGAGCUAACAUGCAAAGUUUCAAAUUUAGCAUAAUCAUCGUGUAGCAUAGCUACUGACAAUCUAUUGUCAAAUUUUGAACAAUAUCAACACUAAUAGGACAUCUCCUAUACUUAUCAUUCACAUGACCUAACUUGGCUUAUGUGGUGUACAUUUUGGCUCAAUUUAUAUUGGCACCAAGACAAGAACAUUGGGAUGGUGCAAUAUGUAUGGCUCGUUAUUUGAAAAGUUAUCCUAACCAAGACAUUCUUCUACACUCCAGUCGCAACCUCUCUCUAUAAGGAAGAUGUGUUUCAGCUUGGACAAGUUGUCCCUUGACUCAUUGCUCGUUUACAUAUUGGCUUGUUUUUCUUGGUAUAAUUCUCUUAUAUCUUGGAAAACCAAGAAGCAACAAAAUGAUGUCUUAACGAUGUCUUGUUUGUCAAUAAAGACUAAGUAUCGCUCCAUGCCCUUGAUAGCUCUCAAGUGGCUUAAAGUGUUGCUUGGAAGCCUUGGGGUGGAUCAUCCAUUUGACAUAAAUAUAUUUUGUGACAUUUAGUUUACACUACAUGUUCCUCAACAGUCUUUCAUAAACAAACUACACACAUAAAUGUGGAUUGUCAUCAUGUUCGUGAUGCUCAUGACACUGUUGCUACGAGUCAAGUUUCUAUAAACAAACAACUUGCAUAUAUCUUUAUGAAAACCUUGGAAAAACAACAACUUAUUUUAUAUUUUCGACCAGUUGGACAUUUGCAAUUCUUCUCAUACUCUAACUUUAAUGUAGAGAUUAAAAACAAAUAAGAAAAUGAUUAAAAACAAUAAUAAAGAAAAUUAAAAGUCAGGAUAAUUAAAGUGUUUUUCAAUAAAUAAAUAAAUAGCCACUUACACUUCCAACAAAAAAAAAAAAAGAAAAAAAAAUUAAACAAAAACUCAUGUACAUAUUUUGACCUCUUUGCCACUUUUUAAUUUAAAACCUCUAGUCUUUUGAAACAUACAGAUAUCAAUUAAGCUAAAAUCAUAUGGUUAAUUAUAUAUAUCUAUAUAAUCUUAUUUUAUAACACAUAUUGAUUAUGUUUAUGAUUAAAAAUAAAAUCACCUUAUAUGUUCAUGUAACUAAUAUUUGUUUUUCAUAAUUAAAAUAAAAUAAUUUAAGAAUUAUUCUAAAUGUCAAAACAUUUGAAAAUAUAACAAAUUUCAUAUUCGGUUACUUUUCAAAUUUCAUAUUCUAUGACUGACAUAUAAAUAUUAUUAAUCGUACUAUAUUUGAAAAUGUAAAAGAAAAAAAUCUUUUUAAAUUCCAGAUAGGUAAUAUCUCCCAUAGUUAUCAAAAUAACAAAACAAUAUAAAAAAUAUUAGGUUGAGAACCAAGAGCUUGUGUUCAAUUUUCCUACUCCAAUUACAUAAAUAGAAAAAAAUAAAAAGUAUUUACAUCGCGUAACAAAAAAAAAUUGUGUUUGGGUUAAAAUUUUGGUUAUCCAUUUUGAACUUGGAUUAAAAUUGUGGUAUGGAGACCGUAAAUAGUUUGUCCCGAUGAGAAUGACCAAUUUAAAGAAUAUUAAGAUUUAGAGUUGUAACUUCUUUUUUUACUUUUUUU
rnacentral:lncRNA from 1 species